rnacentral:rRNA from 1 species
AUACGAAGGGUGCAAGCGUUAAUCGGAAUUACUGGGCGUAAAGCGCGCGUAGGUGGUUCGUUAAGUUGGAUGUGAUAGCCCCGGGCUCAACCUGGGAACUGCAUCCAAAACUGGCGAGCUAGAGUACGGUAGAGGGUGGUGGAAUUUCCUGUGUAGCGGUGAAAUGCGUAGAUAUAGGAAGGAACACCAGUGGCGAAGGCAACCACCUGGACUGAUACUGACACUGAGGUGCGAAAGCGUGGGGAGC